CAGUAGCCGCGGUAAUACGUAGGUGGCAAGCGUUGUCCGGAAUUAUUGGGCGUAAAGGGCGCGUAGGCGGAUUGUUUAGUUAGGCGUGAAAUUCCUGGGCUUAACCUGGGGACUGCGCUUAAUACAGGCAGUCUAGAGUGAGGAAGAGGGUCGUGGAAUUCCCAGUGUAGAGGUGAAAUUCGUAGAUAUUGGGAAGAACACCGGUGGCGAAGGCGGCGACCUGGUCCUUGACUGACGCUGAGGCGCGAAAGCGUGGGGAGCAAACAGGAUUAGAUACCCGUGUAGUCCCUGUCUCUUAUAC
rnacentral:rRNA from 1 species